AUUGAACGCUGGCGGCAUGCUUUACACAUGCAAGUCGAACGGCAGCACAGGGAGCUUGCUCCUGGGUGGCGAGUGGCGAACGGGUGAGUAAUGUAUCGGAACGUGCCCGGUAGUGGGGGAUAACUACUCGAAAGAGUGGCUAAUACCGCAUGAGAUCUUUGGAUGAAAGCGGGGGACCUUCGGGCCUCGUGCUACUGGAGCGGCCGAUAUCAGAUUAGGUUGUUGGUGGGGUAAAGGCCUACCAAGCCUGCGAUCUGUAGCUGGUCUGAGAGGACGACCAGCCACACUGGGACUGAGACACGGCCCAGACUCCUACGGGAGGCAGCAGUGGGGAAUUUUGGACAAUGGGCGCAAGCCUGAUCCAGCAAUGCCGCGUGCAGGACGAAGGCCUUCGGGUUGUAAACUGCUUUUGUACAGAACGAAAAGUCUCUGGCUAAUAUCUAGAGAUCAUGACGGUACUGUAAGAAUAAGCACCGGCUAACUACGUG
rnacentral:rRNA from 1 species